rnacentral:lncRNA from 1 species
GUGUCUUAUUGUCACCAAGUUUUAUUGAACCUUCUCCAUAGUUUUCGAUAGAUCUUUGGACCAUUUAUGCCAGGGGUUGAAUGGGAGUCCUUAACAUGGCUUGUGUCUUCUUUCUAUGAACUUUUGGCUUUGGCUUACCUCUGACUUGUCUUCCAAGGUUCAUGUGCUGGUGGCUUAGUCUCCACUGGAACACUGCAGAAAGCUGGAAGGACGUUAACAUCAGUAUGAGGCAAGAAGUGGGUCUGGCUUGUUCACAUCUGUCGAGACACUGGUAUACAAGAAUGCCCUCGGUGUUUAAUUGCAGAAUAAGUCAAAGGGUGCCAGUUCAGUGGAGUAAAGAGAAAAAGAUUGGCUGAAGUCAUAAGCAACACAGCUGUGCUGGAGAAAAGUGUAAGCUUCGAGACUGAUCUUCAAGAUGCUUUCAAUUAAAUAUUAAGUAAUAGUGUGGCUUGAACAAUUGUAUGUAAAAAAAUUAGGAUAACUUUAGUUAAUUGAAUAGUAUUAAAAAUUAUAGGUAUAUUUUGAGUGAAGCCGGCUGCCGGCCUGUGAGUCAUGCAGGAGCUACAUCUUCAGACACUAAAUGGACCCAGCCCUGCAUUCUGUGGAAACAGAGGUGGUCUACGUGGGCUUGUGAGUGUGCCUCCAAGAACAGCCACAGGAUAACUUGCAUCAAAUACAGCUGUAAUAGAAUUACAGGCAUGCACUGAGCCUCUCUUUUAAUCUGGCAACUGAACCUUAUUAUCCAAUAAGCUUAAAGGACAAUAAAUUCCA